GUGGGUUUAGCACAGCGGUAGUUGCGAAAGAUUGCAAAGACCUUCGGACCAUCCGAGGACGUUUGGGACAUCUUUAGGUCCCCGGUUCGAUCCCGGGAAUCCACU